UUCAUGAACAUUUCCACAUUCCAGUGCUAAUACAAACUAUAAAUAUAACUAUACAUUACAUAACAGUUGAUUAUUGUUGUAUGAUUUUACUUUGACUGUCAGCUGUGUGGCGACUGCAGUGCUUUUAUUGUCUCCUAGCUGCAGAUAUGCAGCCUCAAUGGAUGGCAUCUGGGAAGAAGAGGAACCUUCUAGAGACCAAGUGAAGGAACAUCUUCUCUGUGCUGAAGCUCUGAGAUGAGUGCAGAGUUUCCGGACCACAACGGAGAAGUUCCUUCACUCCAUUCAUGCCUUUUUCAUACCGUACUCACUGUAUACUCAUAGUAUUGUAUGCCAUGAAAAAAAUUAAUAAAAAAGUAAGUAAUAUAGUAGUAUGUAUUAUGUCAAAAAAUCUCUGAAAAAGUCAUACAGAAUGUCAAAAAGUGUUAUUACAUAGUUAUUACAUUGUAAUAACACUGUUAUAACAUGUGUUAUGUCA